UACGAAGGUGGCAAGCGUUACUCGGAAUUACUAGGCGUAAAGGGCAGGUAGGUGGUUUUGUAAGUCUAUUGUGAAAGCUCCCGGCUUAACUGGGAGAGGUCAAUGGAUACUGCAGAACUUGAGUAUAGGAGAGGUUACUGGAAUUCCCGGUGUAGCGGUGAAAUGCGCAGAGAUCGGGAGGAACACCAAUGGCGAAAGCAGGUAACUGGACUAUUACUGACACUCAGAUGCGAAAGCUAGGGGAGCAAACAGG
rnacentral:rRNA from 1 species